CAAUGUCCCUUUGUUAUUGCUGCUUGCUGUGUGCUCCACAAUCUCUUUGAGAGUAAGGGGAAACCUUUAUGGUGGGGUGGGGAGCUAAGGCAAAUCACCUGGCUGCUGAUUACGCACAGCCAGACACCAGGGCGAUUAGAAG